UACAGAGGUCUCAAGCGUUGUUCGGAAUCACUGGGCGUAAAGGGCGCGUAGGCCGUUCGGUAAGUCAGAGGUGAAAUCCCGGAGCUCAACUUCGGAAUUGCCUCCGAUACUGCCGUGCUUGAGGACUGGAGAGGAGUCUGGAAUUCACAGUGGAGCAGUGAAAUGCGUAGAUAUUGUGAGGAACACUAGUGGCGAAGGCGAGACUCUGGACAGUUCCUGACGCUGAGGCACGAAGGCCAGGGGAGCAAACGGG
rnacentral:rRNA from 1 species